rnacentral:lncRNA from 1 species
AAGGCCAGGUCACUGCCCUCUCUCAGGGAGGAGUCAGACCUCUAGUCUAAGCUGGCCCUGCACUGAUGAGCUAAAAUGAGGCUGUGGCUGCUGAGUUUGGUGGCAGGGGUCACCUUGGGGGUGGCCGGGACCCCUCUGGGAAAAGUCUCAACAGGAAGAAAACAAGCAGAGGAGGAAAAGGCAGGACAGGACAAGCUCAAGAAAACAAAGAGAGACUUCUUUAUAAUUGGUGGUUACUCAGGAAUAACUGAAACAACAUCAAGUAAGAAUGAAGUUGCUAAAACUUCACUCAUUUGUAAUGGUAGCUGCACUGAAUCUAAGAUGCACCAUUUGGAUAGUUCUGAGAAAGAAAAAGGAGAAGGAAAAGGACAAAGAGAGGCUAUGAACAGGAGCUCGGAAAUGGAUUUUACCCUUCAGAAUCUAAAUGGCAGCAGCAUCAGAGAUCUCUGUGAGGGCUGCUGUGAGGAGAGAGAGAAAGAGGAGCCAAACCUAAGCAGGAAACUAAGUAUGACAUUGAAGUCUCCCAGGAAGAGAAGACCUGGCCAGUGGACACUCCUUAGGGGUGUGGCUCUCCCGCUUGAGAACAGUUCCAUCAAUAUGGUGAUAAUGUUUCAUAAUGGCACUCAUAUCGGCUAUCAAGAUAAGAAAGUCACACACCAGGCUGAGAACCUCAGAGAAGGGUGGUGCUCUGGCUGCUGCGAAGACAGUGAAACUGUGGUGGUCCUUGAGAGAAGAGAGGGAGAAGAAGUCAGAGAAGUGCCUCCUAUUACCACUGAUCAUGGUGGUCAGGUCCUAGGGAACUCUGGCUCCACAGAGAUGAGAUUUGCUCACCUCUCCGAAGUUUCCCAUGAAGCUGGAGGGCAGUUUGAUCUCAGCUAAACAGUGCUCUAGUCUGGGCCUCUACCUUGAAUAAG